GCCGGCCUCGCUGCAGCCAGAGCGAGCACGAGGCCGAGGCCGGCGCGAGGAACCCUAGAGUGCCCUGCUGGAGCUCUGGCCCACCUCGACCUCGAUCGCCCCCCUUGGCCUAUAAAUCUGCACGGCCGUCUCGGCAGUGGUGGUUGCGCGGUGCCGGAGGGGUGAUGGUAUGCGGUGGGGGCGAUGGGGGUGAAGCGCGGUGAGCGGGAUGGUGCCAGCCGGCCGGGCGCGCGCACGGUGACAGAAGAGAGUGAGCACACGGCCGGCAGGACGGCCCCCGCCGGAUGGUGCCGUCGCGGCCGCGUGCUCACUGCUCUAUCUGUCACCGGCUGCUUCUUCGGGUUUCCGUCGACCCCCGGCCGGCCCUCCUCCGCCGUUUGUGCCCAGCCCCCUCGCUCUCACUGCAUGCCCAGCGCGCGGACAAACGGUUUCCAGCACCAGCAGUACCAUUUUCUUUCACAUCUCACAGGCGAAUGAAUUAGCGAUACUGUUUAGUUUCACUUUCAUCCCCAUUAUCGAUCCGUCUAGUAUGAUAUCUUGAAAUUUAUAAUCCAUAUGCGUGUGAUUUUUGGGUCAUUUUUUCAUGAACUGUUUGAUUCGAGUAGGUAGGUAGCGCCUGUACUAGCUGAUGGUUUUCCCUCCCAUGCUUGUACGACGCCGUUCGUUCAUCUUUCCCGAGGAGCCUGCCCUAUUCCACCUUUUCUUCUCCCCUUUCUUGGGAAGGAGAUGCAUAUUCAUUGCGCCAUUGAUGGAUCUCGGAGCACGAGCAUCGAUCACGACGCAGGAAUCUACUCCUCCUCCAAGGACAGGUACAGUUAACAGACAGUUCAACGAAGCACCAGCCCAGACUUCACAUGCAAACUGGCUCAGUCAGACAGGAGCUCUAGCAUGGGUUUAAUUUGAUCUGACGGUGGAUGGAUAGCACACCACGGCCACACAGAUCUGCUGCUCCUGCCAUUUCCACUACCAUCAGGUCAGUACUUAACUUGUGCUGUCUCCUGUCCUUUCUGUUAUUCAUGCACAUCGCUAGCUGGAUGGUAUUCAAAGUAUGAGUAAUGGUGCAACGAUACGUUGUCCCCUAGCUGUGGCUCCACAAAUGUAGGAUAUACUGUUGGGCUACUGUUCCAUUGAUGGCUCUCGUACAUACACGCUAUCGUCACAAUCCUCGCCCCACCUUGCAUGUUUGACCCGAGCUUGGGCCGGCAUGGCUCCUGUGCAGUGAAAGAAAUUUCAACAGAGACUGUUCCUAGUGGAUCAUAUAAUCUCGCAGAGCGAGAGAGAGUUGCACCUGCAAAAUAAUGCUUUUUUUGGGGGAGAGACUGAAGUUUUGGGUCUAAAAGAUUUAAUAAGAUUUAAUAGCUAGGCGAGUUGGCUGCUUCUAGCAAUUGAUCUGCUUGCAAAUUAAGUUAGUAUGUUAUUGUUUCAUCUGUUGGUAAACGUUAAUUGUAGGUGUGGAGAAGUUUCUUGUGCAAAUCCAUGGAUAGCACACACAAACUCACCAGGUACCAGCUGGUUUUUCAUACUCCGAUAGCUCAUUUCUAGGUUGGAAUGCCGAAGCCCCCAUUUCAAAAUAUAAGACUCAUUAGACAAGGUUUUGACUAAUAAUUAUUUCAUUAAUAUGCAAUUAUUGGUGUGAUAUCAUUUCGGAAGUUAUGACCAUAAGUAAAUACUCCCUCUUAUAUUUCUUUAUAGAGGGAGUACUAAUUUUGAAAAUGGAUCUAGUGACAUUAGAUUCAUGUCAAAUAAACCAAGUAUACAUUAAUGAAGCAAAAAAAAGUGUGUAUGUGUCUGUGUCAAAGCCUCCACAUAACGAAACAACAAUAUGAUUCAUAUUUUGAAAUGGAGAUUGUAAUCAGCACAACUGUUCAUUGUUUCCUUGCGAAACGAAGAGCCAGAUUUAGUAUGAUGAGUAUCUAAGUUUGAUCUAACUAAGUUGCAAUAUUUCAUGCUUUAUGUUUAUGUGGCUAGAAAGUGUGGGUCUUUAAACUGCUGCCCUACAGGCAUACCUAAUUACUCCCUCUGUCCCAUAAUGUAAGAUGUUUUUAGUGUCAAAAAACGUCUUAUACUAUGAAUAUAAGACGGAGGGGGUACUAUAUGAUGAAAGUUUUCUAAAAACAUGCUCCGCGCCAGUAUUAUAGUUAUCAUUUUGCAGUAAAUAUGCAACUGCACUUGGUAUAUCCAUCUGCCCCUGGAAAAUUUUGUAAGUAGCUAGAUCACACCUUACAUAUGCCCAUGAAUCUUGCAUGCAUGCAUGGGAGGGGUACUGGUCUAUAUAGUCACCCUGAUUAUUUGUUACUUUAUGUUUUGUUUAGAAGCAUGUCAAUACGAGCACUUUGCUGCAUCUCUAGUGAAGUAAUCCACCACUGUCAACUGUAUUGUAAUAAGUAAUCUCUAGUGCCCUAUUUUAAUUAUAAAAUUCAACCUUGGAAUAUACACUAGGGUCAUAAGAUAAACUUCCACAGUGAUUUUGAUCCCCCACCGUAUUGCUCACCAUCAAUUAGUAUAUGAUAAUGUGCGUAAAUAUCUUUUACCCCAAAGUGUGUUAUAAACUCUAGUUUGAUGAAAUGCAUGAGCUUAGCUUGAGGAUUACAUAUUAAAUAAGAAAACUAGGGGAAUUACAUAUAUUUGACUUAAAAGGUGACUGGAAGCUCAAACCAAUGACAACACUACAUCCUCGUGCAUCGCCACUAGGUUGUAUUGGUGUCUAUGCAUGGUUAAUACUUACUGCUAGUCUGCAGUUGUUGUACCCAUGUAUGGAGUCUAUUUAUGCUAAAUCCAGUUUUGCAGUAUGGCUUUGAUAAAUAUGCUUCCACUUAACUAAUAUAUGUACCCACGUUCCAAAGUUGAUAUUGAUAAGAGCAUUUGAAAAGCCACCAUUCUUCAUUUUUAACAUUUUUUUGCGGGUGCAUUUUUAACAAAUUACUGUGCUAAGCUAUACAUAUAACAGCUCUGUUCAUCUUUAGAGCCUCUUAUUAUCGCAUUGUGUUGACAUGUGGGAUUUAACAUAUUGCUUGAGGAUUUGUUAGAUAAAAUGACUUUUACAUAAAAGAAUUAAUACUGCUAGCUUUUAUACUUUUUCUCGGCAGUGGCACAUGAUGUAUAUUGUACACUAGGUGCAUGCACGAAUAAGCUAUGUGUUGGAUACACCCAUACAUGUGAUCACAGAAAGGAAUCAAGGGCAUCGUCUUGUUAGCAGUCUACAAUUUGAAGUAAAUCUGUAGGAGACAAUAAACUCCUACACAUGUUGAUAAAAUUGAAGUAUUCAAGUACAAUAAAGGCUAGCUGCACAUCAAGUUAGACACAUAUAAUUCAUCUGUCAAGUAGUUAUCAAACUUUAUGAUUUAAUCAACAUGAAUGUAUGUAUAUACAUAUAGGUUGUAAAAAUGGAAAAUGGAAAUUCAAGUAGUGCAUGAUUUUUUUCUUUACACUUUUUUUUGCAUGCUUCAUACAUAUGUGCGUAGCCUUAAUCAGCUCUAUGUGGACACAGUGACAUGUUCUAGCCAAGUAGGGGAUUUUGGCAUCUACUUUUGUUUGAAUGAAAUGGUUGCAUGUAUUGUCCAUGCUCAGUCGUGUGAUCAGAAAUAAACCUUUCGUCAUGAAGAGAUAAUAUUGUCUUCCUGACAAUUGGCAGAUUUUUAAAACAAUCUUUUGACUACUUCAUUAUCAACCAUUAUUUCCGAUUAGAUUAUUAAACCUAAGCAAUGAGAUUGAUGCACGUUGAAAUGCUGCAUGGAAUACUUAUUGAAGAAAAGUAUGCGCUUCCUUUGUUUAAACUAUUUGUGCCUACCCCAACUUGUUUGGGACUAAAGGCUUCGUUGUUGUUGUUGUAAUUUAUUCACUCAUGAUGAAUUUUGGGAACCCGUUCUUCUUUUUACUAGUGAGUAGUGAAAAUGCACGCCAAAGAAUGCCAGACUGACACAACUCGUACAUGAAAACGCAUGUAUGCCUUUCUGAAUAAAGAACUAUUUCCACUGUCCAGAAUUAACUGUCGCUGAAAUGAGUAAAUCUACACUCUAAAACGCGUCUAGAUACACUCAUUUCAACGACAACUAGUUCCAGACGAAGGUUGUAUAUACCACAGGGACAUCAUAAGUUCUGUAAAGCAUGAGAUACAACAGUUUUCAUGUAUAUAAUCUGGAAUAGGGGAACACUUAUGAGGUGAUGAAUUACUUGCAGGAGGUAAGUUGUUUUACAAAUGUGACAUUGGAUCUAUAAUUUUUUUCUUUUCAACAUAAUUUUUUGAUCUGGUAAAAAUGAAAUUAGUACUAUAUGAGUCAUAUGUAUUGUAGACACCAAACGAAGCAGUGGUUUAUCCAAACUUCAAAAAUAAUAAUCUAUUUUCUAAUCCGUUAUUGAGAAAGUGUGAAAAGAGCCAAGAGACUUGAAUUUUGGACUUCAGCAAUAAGGAUUGAUGAAUUGUACAGACGAAUAUGGAGAGUAAUAUUUAUACACGCCCACUAUAAGGAGAUUAUGAGUUUCAUUAAAUAUAUCAGACGGCUGAUGGAACUAGUGCUUUUCAAAUUAUUAUUUUGGAAGGUCGAGCUUUUCAUAUUGGUAUAGAAAUGGGGUAAAUUGUUCUUUCUUUUUUCAUUGUCGAUCUUUAUGUUCAAAUUAUUGGCUCAAGUUUAUAAACGAAUAAUGGAACAACUACUGCACAAGAAAGGGUAUAUUUCCAUGGCCAAGAGAGCACUAGAAGCCUUCUUGUAAAUUUCAAAAUAAGAUUAGUUUAUUUAUAUAAUUUCAAAAUAAGAUUAGUUAACAUCAAACAAGAAUUUGUGGGAUAUAACAUGAAAAGCAAUUAAUAAAAAUUGAACGUGACACUACUAUAUAUAAAAAGUAGUUGCAGGUCUUCUCAUUAGAAAACAAAUGUUUGUGUGCAUGAUUUAAAUUUUCCUAUUAACCGACACAAAGUUUCAAGACUUGAUGGUAUGUUAAACGAGCAGGGUUGAGCUAAGACAUAUGAUUAAACUUAUUUGAUGUAUUAGUUAGUGGUAGAUUAGGCUAGUUGUAAUGGGAGUAUCGUAGCUAGUAUCAUGCAUGCCAACUAGACAAUUUUGGUGAGAUGGCAUAGAAUUAAAUGAAGAAAGUGAGGGUUGAGUAUCAUAUCAUGAUAUUGUAUCAUAAUAAAUGUAUGCUACUUUGUGUUAUACAUGGCAAUAAAUAAAGUACUAUAUGAUACUAAUACAGCGAUGCUACACACACGACGAUAUUGGACGAUCACCGAACGAUGCUACACAUCAAACCGUCCAUGCGUUAGAGCAAACGUAGCUAGCACCAUUCAUUCUCGCAUCGUGUGGAGUUCGGCCGGGCAGUGUCGUCCGUGUAGUAUUUUCGAUACUAAUAUAUGAUACUAUCCACACUAGUAUCAUGUGCAUGAUACUAGUAUAUGAUACUCCCCAUUACCAGCCUAAAUAUCUUCCUAGCGUGUUCUAAAUUACCUUUAAAAGUGUGUUCUAAAUUACCUUUAAAAAGACCGCUGCCUAUGUGUGGGAGAUUGGGAUAUAGUUUUUCUUAGAACCCUGCUAUACACACGGCACUACACACAGGAUUUCUAUAUGACGCUGAAGAUCACACCAUCCGUUUGAUACGAGUGUCGGCUGCAUGUCGUGCCGUUGUUCUUGGGCUAGCUGAUUUGUUGCCGAUAGGACGCUAUCCAUGCCGGCCAGCCUGUCUCUUGAUCUAGAGACGUUGUCUUGGAGCUCCAUCAUUCUGUGGAUGAGCUUGGUAAAGUUUUCCGCUAGAUUAGGGUCUCCGCGCGUGGCCUGUAGUUUGUCGAUGAGAGCUGUGGCGGCCUGGAGGUCGUGGGCUCUUGUUGGUGGAGGUGCGACCUCUCCGGAUUCACUGAAGCCUAUGCCGAGCUCCCGUCCGCGGGCUGCAAGGUCUUGGAGGGUAGCUCGUGGACGGCGACGUGAUCGGCGCAACCGUUCGUAGUCUAUUGUUUCCUGUCAUCGCGCUUCUCUCUCGGCGGCCUCCCGGGUGCGUCGUUGAAGCUGCAGAUGUGUAUUUAAUGUCGCCAUACGGAGGGCCUCCAUUGCCCGAGCCGUCAGAUCAUUGUCGGGUAUUGGUGUGGUGAGGAGGUUCAUAGCCUCCGCGAAGAUGACUGGUUGCAUUAACGCGACGUCCGCAAGGCUUGAGGUGCCGCCCCAGGGGUGAAGAAACCUGGCGGUGCAGAUCCCAGCAGGGUGCCCAUGCCGUUGUGCUACUACAGGGUGAUCAGAGGCGCCGUUGGUGUUGAAGUCUUUUUUUUUGUGAAUACGCUUUGUUGCGUAUCAUUUCAUUGAUAGAAGGGGGAGGGAAACACAGGGUGCAACUCUAGGGGGCGUACACUGAAGGCGUCCCGAAGAGUGCAAGGUGAGCAGAGAAGAGG